GACCCCUCCUAAUCAGUGUUUCUUUUUUCAGAUUGAGGCUGUUUGAACACACCAGUUCCUCUUCCAUGGCAACGCAUGACCAGGUGACAUCAUAGAGAAGGGGAGCGCUGAGAAGAGCGUCUUAAACUCAUAAACGGAUCAACAAGGUUUGAGCCCUUCUUAGGGGCGGCAGGAAAUGAGGAGGAUAAGGACAAGAAAAUGAAGAGAGAAGGAACAGAGUGGUAAGAAUAAUUAUAACGUACGCUGGUGCAGAAAUAGUUCUGCUGAUGCAGGAAGACGUUGAGAGAGAGAGAGAGAGAGAGAAAGAAAGGACAGAGGAAAGGAAGGAGGGAGAGAGAGAGA